GAGUAAUGAUGCUUAAACCUAUUCCAUUACUGAAAUAAUCUGUGGAAAACAAAAACUGAACUC
rnacentral:snoRNA from 11 species